rnacentral:lncRNA from 1 species
AUCGCAUUGAACAUGUCCUAAUGUUUCACAAUGAGAAGUGAAGCACUUCCUCUUACUUAAAAAGAAAAAUAUUUGAUUUUUACAGGAUGCCUGACACUAAUGCUUACUAUUCUGCUAUCUAUGAUGUCUUCACUUAUGGAUAUAUUUAUUAACAAGUACUUAUUAGCUAUUUAACAUUUCCUCUACUGAGUGUUAUUAAUUACAGAUGCUGUAUUAGUUUCCUAAGGCUGCUGUAACAAAUUACCACAAACGUGGUGACUUAAAACAACAGAAAUUUAUUCUCUCACGGUUCUGGAGGCCAGAAGUUCAAAAUACAGCUGGGACCAAAGGCAUCUCUAAGGAAGGAUACAGUCCUUGCCUCUUCCAGGGUUCUGUGCCUCCUGUUGGAAUGAGCUCACUAACCAGUGGAAACAAACUGUUUAUCCUUCUAUGAUGUUGCAACUGCCUGGGCUUUCUAAUGCGUCUUCAGAUUUCGGUUUGUACUCAGAACAAGUGAGAAAAGUUUUACAGCAACUCCACGAAACAAAGCAGACAGGCUCUCCUGAAGCCAAGGAGUUAUGAAAAAGGCAGGCAUCGCGCAUUGAAUCAAGUAUGCCAUUACCCUCACUCCCAUGAACCUGUCUUUCAGCACAAUCCAUGACAGCAAGAAGACAAAGGCUUUGUUACAACAGAACAGAGCGGAGACAUCCGUGGCCGUCAGCUUCUUUA